UGGCAGAGACAUAGAGGGCAAGCGCUUGUGCUCCUGACCAUGCGGCUGUGCCUGUCCCUCCUGGGUGAUCAACUGGUGGGGAACAGCCUUCAAAAUGCACCACUUGUUGUGUGACAGUGUGCAAAGUAAACUGUCACCUGCCAAUCCCUAUACUAUAGAGUAUACCUAUACCUCUUUGUAUUUACUUCGUCAAAUCCCUGUGUUAGGACUGAGUAUGGCAUGAAGCAGAAGGUCUGAGCUGGCUGAACACGGUCCCCUGGGUUAGAAUCAGUGCUACUUACAAGCUCGUGACGUGUCGGGUUGGUCCCCCCUCGCGGAAGGUCCGCAAAUGGAUUUCCCCCAGCCUUGCCGAGAUAUCUUCCCAGGCUUUUUGACCAUAAAACCCUACCUGGUGCAGAGGAGGAGAACUAGCAGCAACCUCUCUGCUCGCCCUUUGCUAGAGUGCUUCAUUCUUGUUGAAGUGUCUGCCCUGCAGGCCUGGGCAGCUGGGGAGCCUCGACCCUUUUCUGCGGCAGGCUCCCAGACAGCACGAAAGAGCCCAGAAUAUGAAAACUGCCUCUCAAGAAAACAUAAAUUAUAAAGCGAAUAACAAUUGCUUUCUGCCAGGAUAUGGUUUGUGUACCCCCAAAGCAGGAGGAAAAACUACAAGAAGGAAAAGCGAGGCACUUCCCAGAGCCCUGAGGGGGCUGGUGGAGCUCCCAGUUCAACUGGGAGAGCAGCCCAGGGCAGGUUUUGCACAACAGCUUUUGUGUCUCUGCAAAUCUCCUUUCAGACACUGAAGGCUGGUGGUAGCUUCCAUGUGUGGAACAAAACCUAAAAGACUUUUAUGCUGCGGCUUAUGCGUGAUGGAGAGGCAAUGUUACAGCCUGGAGAAGGGAUUGCUCUGAAUCGUGCUUGCACAACACCCUGGCAAUAUUUGGGAAGUAAAUCGGUCCCUGCAAGCUGCUGGGGUCCUCCUGCAGAAACAUCUCCUUCUCUGGAGGGCUCAGGAAGGUGGGAGGGAGGCAGGGACCUGGGCUGCAGAGGGAGGACGGCAGCUCGCAGAGGGGUGAGCUCUGCCUGGAGUCCAUCAAUGUGCUGUGCUGAUUGGGAAUCUACUCGUUAGGCACUUGUUUGCCCUGGGAGGUGUGCUAGGUUCAGCCCUGGGACAGCUCAAGGAAAGCAAAUGCUGAGACAACAGUUGGACAAAGCUGGAUCAGUCUUUUUAGUACCCUGGCAUGAUUUGUUGCAGCUGAGUCCUUCCAGCAAAUCCUUAAGAUUUUCAGCAGCUAUAAGCUUUUUAUAGCAAAUCAGAUUUUUGCACCCAUCUGGUUGACUGGUUAUAAACAUACAUCUCUCAAGUUGGCUUGUUAGGUUUUGUCAGUAUUAAAAAGAAAACCCACAAUGCGCAGCGGAGUAUUCAUCUGUAGCUGCUUUUGAUGACUUAUGCCUCUUGCAAAUGAACACAAAUAAGCAAGAAAAGUGGUUUGCUUAUGAAAUCCUGAAGAAAAAAGCCUAAAACCCAGCAAAGUGACAGGUGGGCUUGUGGAAAACACCCAGGCAGGCUGACCAUGGUUGCUAAUGUAGGUUGACUCUUGGGUGGUGUUGGCCUUUUCGUUGGAUUCAAUGAUCACAUCUACAAAGGGUCUGAAGUGUUUUUGCUGAUUCUAGCAGCAUGGCUGAAAAAGGGUCUCAGCAGUUUGAGACCUCACUGCUGGUUCAAGGUGUAGCUCAGGACAGAUUUACAGCUAAGUCCCACUACGUCCCUUA